UCCCUGGUGGCUCAAAGGGUAAAGCAUCUGCCUACCAUGUAGGAGACCUGGGUUCGAUCCCUGGGUAGGGAA
rnacentral:tRNA from 1 species